GGCGGGGGAGGGGGUCCCUCAGCCUGAAUUGCGAGAGGGCGCAGGACAGGUUGAGGGACCCCAUCGAUGCACG
rnacentral:pre_miRNA from 1 species